rnacentral:tRNA from 1 species
GGUAAGAUGGUUGAGAUUUAGACGAUAGAUUGUAAAUCUAUAAACGAGGCUUUCCCUCUCUUACUA